rnacentral:rRNA from 1 species
GUGGGGAAUCUUGCGCAAUGGGCGAAAGCCUGACGCAGCCAUGCCGCGUGAAUGAUGAAGGUCUUAGGAUUGUAAAAUUCUUUCACCGGGGACGAUAAUGACGGUACCCGGAGAAGAAGCCCCGGCUAACUUCGUGCCAGCAGCCGCGGGAAUACGAAGGGGGCUAGCGUUGCUCGGAAUUACUGGGCGUAAAGGGUGCGUAGGCGGACAGUUUAGUCAGAGGUGAAAGCUCAGGGCUCAACCUUGGGAUUGCCUUUGGUACUGGCGGUAUUGAGUACGGGAGGGGUGAGGGGAACUCCGAGUGGAGAGGUGAAAUUGGUAGAUAUUCGGAAGAACACCAGUGGCGAAGGCGACUCACUGGCCCGUUACUGACGCUGAGGCGCGAAAGCGUGGGGAGCAAACAGGAUUAGAAACCCUGGUAGUCC